rnacentral:rRNA from 1 species
GACGAACGCUGGCGGCGUGCCUAAUACAUGCAAGUAGAACGCUGAAGGAGGAGCUUGCUUCUCUGGAUGAGUUGCGAACGGGUGAGUAACGCGUAGGUAACCUGCCUGGUAGCGGGGGAUAACUAUUGGAAACGAUAGCUAAUACCGCAUAAGAGUAGAUGUUGCAUGACAUUUGCUUAAAAGGUGCAAUUGCAUCACUACCAGAUGGACCUGCGUUGUAUUAGCUAGUUGGUGGGGUAACGGCUCACCAAGGCGACGAUACAUAGCCGACCUGAGAGGGUGAUCGGCCACACUGGGACUGAGACACGGCCCAGACUCCUACGGGAGGCAGCAGUAGGGAAUCUUCGGCAAUGGACGGAAGUCUGACCGAGCAACGCCGCGUGAGUGAAGAAGGGUUUCGGAUCGUAAAGCUCUGUUGUAAGAGAAGAACGAGUGUGAGAGUGGAAAGUUCACACUGUGACGGUAUCUUACCAGAAAGAGACGGCUAACUACGUG